UACAGAGGUCUCAAGCGUUGUUCGGAUUCAUUGGGCGUAAAGGGUGCGUAGGCGGCGCGGUAAGUCGGGUGUGAAAUCUCGGGGCUUAACUCCGAAACUGCAUUCGAUACUGCGGUGCUUGAGGACUGGAGAGGAGACUGGAAUUCACGGUGUAGCUAGUGAAAUGCGUAGAUAUCGUGAGGAAGACCAGUGGCGAAGGCGGGUCUCUGGACAGUUCCUGACGCUGAGGCACGAAGGCCAGGGGAGCAAACGGG
rnacentral:rRNA from 1 species